rfam:Streptomyces yokosukanensis strain DSM 40224 genomic scaffold PRJNA299221_s052, whole genome shotgun sequence.
CUUGAUCGAGCCCAGCCACAGCGGCUCGUCCGCGGCCCGCUCGCGUCCGUAGGUGGCCAGCAGGGCCUGCGCCUC